rnacentral:rRNA from 1 species
AUUUCUGAAUUAGAAGAGUUCUUUUUUUUAUUGKAAUAAAUAUUGGUAAUUUGAAAUUAAAUGUUAUUAUAUCUAGUUUUUGAAGAAAAUUUAAUUUUUUUAUUUUCUUGGGGAUCAGCUUGGGAUAGGAUUAAUAAUUUUUUUAUAAUUUAUUUAUUCAAAUUUUUAAUUAAACUUAUAUUGUAAUUAUGAUUAUAUUAGUAUAAUGUUAAUAAAAGGAAUUCGGCAAAUAUUUUUCACCUGUUUAUUAAAAACAUGGCCUUUUGAUUAUAAUUUAAGGUCUAACCUGCCCUAUGAGGCUGCGGUACUUUGACCGUGCAAAGGUAGCAUAAUAAUUAGUUUCUUAAUUGGAAGCUGGAAUGAAUGGUUGAAUGAAAAAAUAGCUGUCUCUUUUUAAUAGAAUUUUAUUUUUAAGUUAAAAUUCUUAAAUUAGAUUUAAAGACGAGAAGACCCUAUAGAGUUUUAUUUUGGUUGGGGUGAUUGAAAAAUUUACUUAACUUUUGAUUAUAAGAUUAAAUUACCUUAGGGAUAACAGCGUAAUCUUUCCAAAAGUUCAUAUUGAAGGAAGGGUUGCCGACCUCAA